rnacentral:rRNA from 1 species
CCUACGGGAGGCAGCAGUGGGGAAUAUUGCGCAAUGGGGGAAACCCUGACGCAGCAACGCCGCGUGAGUGAGGAAGUAUCUCGGUAUGUAAAGCUCUAUCAGCGGGGAAGAAAGAGGACGGUACCCGACUAAGAAGCCCCGGCUAACUACGUGCCAGCAGCCGCGGUAAUACGUAGGGGGCGAGCGUUAUCCGGAUUUACUGGGUGUAAAGGGAGCGUAGACGGCGUCGCAAGUCUGAAGUGAAAGCCCGUGGCUCAACCGCGGAACCGCUUUGGAAACUGCGAGGCUGGAGUGCUGGAGAGGUAAGCGGAAUUCCUGGUGUAGCGGUGAAAUGCGUAGAUAUCAGGAGGAACACCGGUGGCGAAGGCGGCUUACUGGACAGUGACUGACGUUGAGGCUCGAAAGCGUGGGGAGCGAACAGGAUUAGAUACCCCUGUAGUC